GGACAAGGUGACCAGAGGGCCCCCAGACGUCGCCCUUCUUAGAAUGAGCCAAUGGGAAAGGUGAAGAGGGGCGCGUGGGGAAAAAUGGCCCGGUGUGGUCCCUGCUCCCCAAGUUGCCACGUUCCGAGGCCGAAGUUUCUCGGGGCUUAAAGUGGGAUUUCCCCCGCGGUCUUCGGGGUUGGUGGAUCGGUUGCAAAUGCCGCUGGACAGAAGGAAUCAAAAGGCAGUGACUGGCUGAAACAGGACGUGGAGCAGACUCUGAGAUGAGGCAGCGGCCAGACCCAGAGGCUCGAGUCCCAGAUCACUUGCUCUGGGGAAAGCCAUGUCAUGGAGCAGCCUUAUGGAGAGGCCCACAGAGCAAGAAACAGAGACCUUUUGCCAACAGCCAAGUGAGUGGUCUUGGACGUGAAUCCGCUAGUCCCAGUCAAGCCUUCAGGUGACUGCAACCCCGGAUGAUGUCUUGACUGCAACUUCAUGAGAGACCCAGAGAAAAAGCCACCCAGUUAAGUGGCUCCCAGACCCUGUCGCUCAGAAAUGAUGUGAGGUAAAUGCAUGAUUGUUGUUUCAACCCUCUACGUGUUCAGAUACUUUGUUAUCUAGAAAUGAAUAACAAAUAAGAUUCUGAUAUCAAGAAUGGGGUGCUGUAACAAAAGCCUAAAAUGUGGGAGUGACUUUGGCGCUGGGAAGUGGCCAGGGGCUAGAAGGACUUUGAAGAGCCUGGUGGAGAAAGCCUCAAUUGCCUUGAACAAACUAUGAGUCAAAAUCGAAACCGAGAAGAGCCUGCCAGUGCGGGCUUCAGGGGAAGUAAGGAACAGGUUAUUGGAAACUGUAGGAAAAGGGACUUGAGAUGUGUAGUGGCUGAAAGUUUAGCAACACUGCCACCUGCAGUUGUGUGGAAAGGAUAAAAUGUAGCUAGUGAACUGGGUGAUCUAGCUAAGACUUCCAGCUAGAGUGUUGAAGAAGUUGCGUGAUUUCUUGGAGUAAAAGGCAAGAGGAGAGAGAAGCUAAAUGAAGAAAUAUUAAACAUGAGGAACUAGGACUUGAAGGUCUUGAAAAUUCUCAACCUGUCUGUAUACUGAAGAGUUAACUUCACCCCCAAAGCUUCGGCCUUUGUCCUGGCUCCUGGGAGGUAACAUCAAAACGCUUGGAGUAGAGGUGGUUGGGUGGCUCUGUUGGUUAGAGCGCAAGCUCUGGGCAACGGGGCUGCCGGUUUCAUUCCCACAUGGGCCAGCGAGCUGC